CUGGCCUGGAGAGUGAAGUCCUCUGUUUACAGAGCAGGUAAAGUGCAGGCAACAGCAGAACAAGCUUCCCCACUUUGCCUCAUUAAUGUGCCUCAACCGUGAUCUGGAAGGAUCACCUCUAGGAGGAGAGAUUUACUCCUCAGGGUUCUCAGUCCUUGGCGCCU
ensembl:misc_RNA